CACCCUCCAUCACAGGCAGAACAUCUGAUGAGAAAUAAACCCGACACCACAAACCAUGAAAAGAUCUGCAUAUCGAUCACGUUUCACUCACCUGUCAGGCCCUGAUGGGCGUUAGCAGAGAUAACCAGCAGCACAGAGCCACACCUCUGGGGCCGACCAGCAGCCAUGACCCGAAGACCCCCAAAGAGAGUGGCUGAGACCAAAACCUCGUCAGGAAAAGUUUACGGAAUUUAUAUCAUACUGUUUAUACUUCCUGUUUAUCCAAGCUGGUACCUGGAUGCUAACAGGUGAGCGGCUACUUGGUGAAACUCUGCCCCCUGGUGGUGGGAGUGUACAAAAACACUUAACACAGAUUUCUGUUCAUCACCCAAAAUAAAAGACAAACGUCUGUAGAGCGA